UACGGAGGGGGCUAGCGUUGUUCGGAAUUACUGGGCGUAAAGCGCGCGUAGGCGGAUCUGCAAGUCGGGGGUGAAAUCCCGAGGCUCAACCUCGGAACUGCCUUCGAUACUGCGGGUCUCGAGUCCGGGAGAGGUGAGUGGAAUUCCUAGUGUAGAGGUGAAAUUCGUAGAUAUUAGGAAGAACACCAGUGGCGAAGGGCGGCUCACUGGCCCCGGUACUGACGCUGAGG
rnacentral:rRNA from 1 species